GACGAACGCUGGCGGCGUGCUUAACACAUGCAAGUCGAGCGGAGCGGCGAACGGGUGAGUAACGCGUGAGUCACUGCCCCCCUCUCUUGGAUAACAGUUGGAACCGGCUGCUAAUACCGGAUAGUGGGGGAUGCCUCGCGUUCUAUCGGCUUGUUGGUGGGGUAGUGGCCUACCAAGGCGACGACGGGUAGCCGGCCUGGGAGGGGGACCGGCCCAAUGGGGCUGGGAUACUGCCCAAAAGCCUACGGGAGGCAGCAGUGGGGAAGAUUGCACGAUGGGGGAAACCCUGAUGCAGCAACGCGCGUGCGGAAUGUCGGCCUUCGGGUUGUAAACCGCUUUCAGCCAUGACGCGGUAGUGGCAGAAGAAGCACCGGCUAACUACGUGCCAGCAGCCGCGGUAAUUC
rnacentral:rRNA from 1 species